UGUUCCAAAAUAGCUUGGGCAGUAGAGCAUAAGACUCUUAAUCUCAGGGUCAUGGGUUUGAACCCCAUGUUGGGGCAA